GCCAAACCUCAUGGCUGUCGUGGGUUAAAGCUAAGACAAGCCGGGUCAAGACAACAUAACAGCAUCAGCUUCAGUGAAGACAUGAUGAUGGCCACUGGGUGGCUUCACUCCCAAAGCUUUCAGACUGCAGCUCAAAACCUGUGUCUGAGGCCACAAAUGAAAAGCAAACAAGAGCAACAAUGAAUACUUGGUGUGCAAGCAAAUAGGGGCACAAACGACACAACUGUUGACAGUACAGCUCAGUUGCACAAGAGACCAUAGCAUGUUGGAGAUCCCCGUACCAUAAGACUACCACCAAGAACAGCAGCUGAGGUGAAGUGGAGCCUGCUAGAUGAGCCUGCUUGAAGAUGAGCUGGAUGUGCCGUAGAGGGUGGAGUUGGAGAAAUGACCCAGGACCUUUGGAGGAGCCCAGCAGACAAUGAGUGAAUCCCAGAUAUUGGGCAUGGAAUUAUUUACACUGUUGGAGUUUGGUUUUGCUUUGCUCUGAUUGUGACUGUGCCCUGGUUCUUCCCUCUUGAAGUAAGGAAGUGUUCAACUUGUGUUUGAUUUCACAAGAGCCCACAGUUGAGAGACUGAAUUUUAUAGGUUUUAAAUUUUAAAAGACUUUAGACUUUUAAGGAUAAUUGCUUUUUAAAGUGUUUGAAUUUGUAAAGACUGUGGGUUUUGGGUUUAUAAAAUGUUUUAUGUUGUGGUGUCGAUGUUAAUGUGUGAUCUUGAGGAUAAAUAAGAAACGAAAGGUUGUAGUAUAACAGUGAUGUUUGCAUGUCUGGUUGACAAGGGGUCAGUUGUGCUUAAUGGUUUUAUGUCAGCUUUACACAGGAGAGAGUAAUCUGACAGAAGGGAACCUUAAUUAAGAAAAUGCCUCUGUAAGAUUAGGCUGUAGGUAAACCUGUUGGGCAUUUUCUUAGUGAUACGGGAGAGGCUAGCCCAUUGUGCAUGGUGCCGUUCCUGGGCUGGUGGUCCUGGAUUCUAAAGGAAAGCAGGCUGAGCAUGCCACAAGGAGCAAGCCAGCAAGCAGAACCCCUCCAUGGCCUCUGCAUCAGCCCCUGCCUCAAGGUUCCUG
rnacentral:lncRNA from 1 species